rnacentral:rRNA from 1 species
AGUCGAGCGAAUGGAUUAAGAGCUUGCUCUUAUGAAGUUAGCGGCGGACGGGUGAGUAACACGUGGGUAACCUGCCCAUAAGACUGGGAUAACUCCGGGAAACCGGGGCUAAUACCGGAUAAUAUUUUGAACUGCAUGGUUCGAAAUUGAAAGGCGGCUUCGGCUGUCACUUAUGGAUGGACCCGCGUCGCAUUAGCUAGUUGGUGAGGUAACGGCUCACCAAGGCAACGAUGCGUAGCCGACCUGAGAGGGUGAUCGGCCACACUGGGACUGAGACACGGCCCAGACUCCUACGGGAGGCAGCAGUAGGGAAUCUUCCGCAAUGGACGAAAGUCUGACGGAGCAACGCCGCGUGAGUGAUGAAGGCUUUCGGGUCGUAAAACUCUGUUGUUAGGGAAGAACAAGUGCUAGUUGAAUAAGCUGGCACCUUGACGGUACCUAACCAGAAAGCCACGGCUAACUACGUGCCAGCAGCCGCGGUAAUACGUAGGUGGCAAGCGUUAUCCGGAAUUAUUGGGCGUAAAGCGCGCGCAGUGGUUUCUUAAGUCUGAUGUGAAAGCCCACGGCUCAACCGUGGAGGGUCAUUGGAAACUGGGAGACUUGAGUGCAGAAGAGGAAAGUGAUUCCAUGUGUAGCGGGUGAAAUGCGUAGAGAUAUGGAGGAACACCAGUGGCGAAGGCGACUUUCUGGUCUGUAACUGACACUGAGGCGCGAAAGCGUGGGGAGCAAACAGGAUUA